GACGAACGCUGGCGGCGUGCUUAACACAUGCAAGUCGAACGGAAAGGCCCUGCUUUUGUGGGGUGCUCGAGUGGCGAACGGGUGAGUAACACGUGAGUAACCUGCCCUUGACUUUGGGAUAACUUCAGGAAACUGGGGCUAAUACCGGAUAGGAGCUCCUGCUUCAUGGUGGGGGUUGGAAAGUUUCGGCGGUUGGGGAUGGACUCGCGGCUUAUCAGCUUGUUGGUGGGGUAGUGGCUUACCAAGGCUUUGACGGGUAGCCGGCCUGAGAGGGUGACCGGCCACAUUGGGACUGAGAUACGGCCCAGACUCCUACGGGGGGCAGCAGUGGGGAGUAUUGCACAAUGGGCGGAAGCCUGAUGCAGCAACGCCGCGUGCGGGAUGACGGCCUUCGGGUUGUAAACCGCUUUCGCCUGUGACGAAGCGUGAGUGACGGUAAUGGGUAAAGAAGCACCGGCUAACUACGUG
rnacentral:rRNA from 1 species